rnacentral:rRNA from 1 species
UACGUAGGGGGCGAGCGUUGUCCGGAUUUAUUGGGCGUAAAACGCUUGUAGGUGGCUACGUCAAGUCGGACGUGAAAUCGUCCCGGCUUAACCUGGGAGGGGUCGCUCGAUACUGGCGAGCUCGAGGCAGGUAGGGGGAAGCGGGAAUUCCCGGGUGUAGUGGUGGAAGUGCGUAGAUAUCGGGAGGAAGCACCAACGUGGCGGAAGGGC